UACGUAGGGACCAAGCGUUGUUCGGAUUUACUGGGCGUAAAGCGCACGUAGGCGGCUUUCUAAGUCGGGGGUGAAAUCCUGGAGCUCAACUCCAGAACUGCCUUCGAUACUGGAGAGCUUGAGUCCGGGAGAGGUGAGUGGAACUGCGAGUGUAGAGGUGAAAUUCGUAGAUAUUCGCAAGAACACCAGUGGCGAAGGCGGCUCACUGGCCCGGUACUGACGCUGAGGUGCGAAAGCGUGGGGAGCAAACAGG
rnacentral:rRNA from 1 species